CCUGACAGUCAGACAAAAUGCAAGUUUCUGGACACCAACUAACUGGGUUUGAAUUCCGGCUCUGUCACUGUCUGCUGUGUGGCCUCUCAGGACAACACUCCUAUUUCUUGGGGCCAUGCAAAGACUGGGUUAGCAGGAUUUAAAUUGCUUCAAGUUGAGCCUGGCAUUUUGGAGUACUCUGUGAGGUGUUGGUAUACUCUAUCAUUACUGAGCCAAGACUGGCCCUGAAGCGGAAGAGGAACACUAGCCCAUCUAGAAGAUGCCUCUCUCCAAUGUUCCGAACUGGAACCAGUAACCAUCUAUGACAAAACACCCAAGAACAUCAACUAAAAAGAGGCAUGGUCUAUUUGAGUUCAUGGUUUCAGCCCAUGCUUCAUGACUCCAUGGCUUCUGGGCCAGUGGUUUGCAACAUCAUGCCAAGAGCUGAUGCCUAUCAAAUUGAGUCUGGAGCCCUCAAGAUCCAGGGAUCUUCCCACCUCUGAACUUACUUCAUGGAGGAUGAAUUCUUGAAUACAGGAGCCUCUGGGGAAACAUCUUAAAUCCAAAUAACUAUUAUCUAUUUCUGUAUUGAU